CAGUGAGUUAGGCUGGCAGGACGGAUUUAGUUUCUCCCUGUCUCUGGCCCGCACAGUAGGUGGCGGUAAUGCACCAUAACGUUGGAUGCUAACCGCCGAUAAACCCAACUGAAGAAGAAGAAGAGCAGCGAGUUAGUUGACACACCGUUUGAACAAUAAGGUAGUUUCCAACGAACGAUGGCGGAGUUGGCGCCUACAAGACGCCCUUACUAUUGCUCUCUAUUGGCCAUAUCAUAUGCCACACCCCUGG